CUAUUCCUCUGUACCACAGGAAAUCCCUUGACAAGCUCUUCCAACAAGGAGCUGGGAAUGACAGCAGCAGGCUAAAGGGAGGAGAGCUAUAGAAAGGACUGUACACUCUCUGGAGGGGAAAAUGGAUUUUGCUACAAAAGGGACUGUGUACUUUUAGAGUACUUUUCUGAGAAAUGUACUCUCUGGGAGAAAUGCAGACAUUUGGGGAAAGUGGAUUUAUGGAUUUGCAUGGCUGAAGACAUAUUACAUUAUCCAGGCGUCUACAUGACUAAGGCUUGUGAGAGCUGUCUUUGAAGUGUAG
rnacentral:lncRNA from 1 species